rnacentral:rRNA from 1 species
GAGCCCACGUCCUAUCAGCUUGUUGGUGAGGUGACGGCUUACCAAGGCUAUGACGGGUAGCUGGUCUGAGAGGAUGGUCAGCCACACUGGGACUGAGACACUGCCCAGACUCCUACGGGAGGCUGGCAGUCGAGGAUCAUUCGCAAUGCGCGAUAAGCGUGACCGGUGCUACGCCCGCGUGCAGGAUGAAGGCCUUCGAGUCGUAAACUUGGUGUCAUGAAGGAACAAUGUCCGGGAUGUUAAUCACCAUCUCGGGGUGAAUAAUACCUCAAGAGGAAGCCACGUCUAACUCUGCGCCACAAGCCGCGGUAAUACAGAGGCGACGAGCGUUCUUCGGAUUUACUGGGCAAAAAGGCUGCGUAGCCGCUUCUGUAUGUCGGAUGUGAAAUCUCACAGCUCAACUGGUGGAAUGGCAUUCGAAACUGCAGGCCUGGACUACAGGAGAGGAGAGCGGAAUUCUCGGUGUAGCGGUGAAAUGCGUAGAUAUCGAGAGGAACACCGGUGACGAAGACGGCUCUCUGGACUGAUACUGACGCUGAGGCACGAAAGCGUGGGGAGCAAACAGGAUUAGAUAUCGUGGUAGUCCACGCCGUAAACGAUGGAUACUAGGUGUAGGGG